GCCACUACCACCAGGCAACAUCCUGAGAGGAUCCGCUAUCAUCUAAGUUUCUCACCUUGACACAAAGCCUUGUUUGGCCCUCCCUAGUUAUACUUCUGGGUUUUUUCUUAAGUCUCUGUUGUUUUUUUUUUUCCCUCAGUCUUUGCAACAGUACUAAGUUUAAUGCCACAUCAGACUGAAUAUUUCUCUUUGAAUCAGCUGCCUAAAUCACCUUUGCUGACAUCUGCAAUCAUGAGAUUCAGACCCUGAAAAUACUGACUGCAAUUAGGACUUCCAAAUCAGGGUACAUCAAGGAAGAGAAAAUGGAAACUCAUGGGACAAACACAUGGCAAAUUUCCCACUCAAACUGAUAGAUUAUUAUUUCUGGAUGAAGAUUUUAGAUUCAGGCCCAUCGUUGGAAAUAAUAGACUGCAGCUGACUCAGGCACAAGGUAUGUAUUUUUACCUUGUGGAUCUCGGUUUUGUGACUUUAAAAAUGGAGUUA
rnacentral:lncRNA from 1 species